AGGGGUGUAGUUCAGCUGGUAGAGCGUCGGUCUCCAAAACCGGAUGUCGUGGGUUCGAAUCCCUCCGCCCCUG
rnacentral:tRNA from 1 species